AUAAGGUAAAGAACAUGUUGGUGGCUGCUGUGGCACUUUUAAUUCUGUUUCCAUCAGCUGGUCUGAGCUUGAAACAGUCGCCUGAUCUUUUUGUUAAAAGUGGUGAAAAUGUGACUCUUACGUGCUCUCAGAUUAACACCACAUUUAACGGAAUGUACUGGUUCAGACAAAGACCCUCUGAACCAAUAGAGAUGAUUGCUUACUACUACAUUAACAUGAAGACAGAAAUAGAUCCGUUUAAAAAUAAAGUGUCUGCUGUGAGAAAUAAAUCUUCUCUGGAUGUAACUGUGAAGGAAGUGGAGAGAGCAGACAGUGCUGUUUACUACUGCGGAAAACAAGAUGCACAGCAAGAGAGCCUAAUCUCUAACCUCAACAAGAACUACCUCCUCCAAGGCCUACGCUGAACCAAC